CAUCCACCUUGGCCUCCCAAAGUGCUGGGAUUACAAGCUUGAGCCACUGAGCCCGGCCAGAACUUUUCUUCUGAUGAUCUCCAUUCUCCUGUCCUUGAGCCAUCUUGGCUGAUGGGUUAUCCAGAUUUUUUCCCUGAGGUAGUUAUAACUUCUGGAUUUGCUUGAAAAAUCUUAGAUCCUCAUUCUGAUCUGCUGUAAUUAUGGGGUUCCCCUGAUCAACCAAGAACUACAUUUCUGAUUCAACCUCUUAGAAUUUCAUGGUUUUGGAAGCUCUUAAAGGUCAUCAAGCCCAACAUCCCUAUCCCACUCACCUUCUGAUGUUUGAAUAUUCGCUGCAACAACUCCAUCAAGUGGCUGUCUAGCUUUUUCUUGCAUGCCUUCAGUGACAAGGAACUCACUAUCUUCCAAGGCAUCUAAUUUCAUAUGUCCAUGACGUUGUUUAUCUUAUUUCAUUGACAUCUGAAUCCUGGUCAUACCUAUCGAAAGAGGCAUUUCAUCACCAAGGAAAGAAAUCGAGUCAAAUUGGCCAGCAGGAAGAAACUCUUUGGGAAUCCUUAGCUUCAUUAGAAGUAGACUUUUGUUCAAAUGAAGUGUUAAAAUUAAAGCAGUAUAUAUCUGAGUGGGGCCAAUUGGCAUUAACUCAUCUUAGCAUAUGGUGUGCUUCCUUUUAUAUGCAUGUUUAGCAGCUAGUGGGUACCAAACCUCACACAGCUCUCAAUUGCUAGCACUAAUGAAGGAUCUGUUUGCCUUUGGGGAUAAAGAUGGUAUCACUGAUUCACAGUUGUUUUUCCAGGAGUGAAGAACAGAUUUUACUUCCUCAUCCAUAGUCUCUUGCCUGGCCCUUUCUCGUCCCUACUACCACUACCCUAAUUCAGGCCUCAUUGUUUCCUGCCAGGACGGUUCACCUGCCUCCAACUGGCCUCCUUGCCUUUGGUUCUGGCCCUGCCUGGUUCGAGAUCACAUUGCCAGAGGGAUCUUCAUAAGCACAGAUUUGCUGUAUCACUUCCAGCUUAAAAUCCGUCAGUGACUCCUGUUAGUGCCAGUGUGGAAUCCAAACUUCUUAGCAUGUUCAGUUUGAUGGUGGCCGUGAAGGGGUCUGAUGCUCAGUAACUUGAGGUGCCCCUGCAGCAUGAGGUGGUGGAGAGGGUAUCUGAGUGGGUAUGGGAUCCUGGGGUCAGGCCCAUGUUCACUUGCUCAGGAGCUUGGAGCACAACUUCCCCUUUCUGGGAGAAGGCUUUAUAUCUCAUUAAGAUGGAUGAAAUCUCUCAGCUGGACAAAGGCAGCAGCACAUUAUGUUCAAAACGAAGAGACUUGGUGUGAGAUGGAUCCUGAACAGCUCACCUCCCACCAUCCCAGCCAGAAGUAGCACGGUCUUCAAAUUCCAGCCCAUCUCUCUCUUCUUGAUGAAUACCUCUUCCAGCUCAGUUGCAAUGAAAUGUCUCCUUCUUCCAUAUAAACCCAGGGCUGUGCCCAAGCCUGCUUAUCCCAUUACCCACACUUCCCCCGAGUCUUAAAACAUGUCACUUCCUCGAGACUCAGAAGCCCACCUUAGGAAGUAUAAGAUUCAUGUUGAUAACUAGCUAGGAGGCUCAUUGAAAAUAUUUUGGGGUUUGCAUGUUAGCUCUGUCAAAUCAAGUAAAAAAUCAUUCUUAUCUACCAUAACCAGCAGUUAUGCAAAUCUGCCAAUGGCACUAAUUAAGUGACUUCUAAAAGCAUUUAUCAUAAAUAAGGAACAAAAACAUUCAGGGGCUUAUUUUAUUCUCUCCAGCAGCCAUAGCCCCAUCUGAUUAAUGCCAUAUGGGGAGAGUCUAUUCUGGAGGGCAGGCUGGAGUUUGGUUCAUUGUUGGCAGAUAUUUCAGUUACGUGUUUGUGCAACACUGUAUGCUUACCAGGUAGCAGCUUUGGUGGGAUAGGCCACCUUCACACUUACCCAUCAUCACUUGAGAUUUCAAGCCUCAAUUUGACCCCAUGUGGCAGGAAGAGUAUAUGCCAUGUACAGAAAAACUUUACGUCUGUUACCGUUUAUGAUCUUCCCAACAGCUCUGUGAUGUUCGUUAUUAUCCCUGCAUUGCAGAUAAAGAAACCUAUACUUCUGUGCUAUAAAAUAGAGUUGACCAAAAUUUUUGCAAAGCCAGAGAGUGAAUAUUUCUGGCUUUGCACCCUAUCAUGUAAGGUCUCCAUCAUGACUGUUCAACUCUGCCAUUGUAGUACAAAAUCAGAGAUGUAUGCUGAAUAAAUGAAAACGCAUGGCUGUG